rnacentral:lncRNA from 1 species
GUUAUGCAAAGUCACAGAAAAAAGAAAUAAUAGCAGAAGUGGUAUUGGAAUCCAUUUAAGCAGAGGUGAUAUGGAUCCAGACUCCACUGAAUGGCCACACUGAUUUAAGUGUCUUGGUCUUAAGUGGAGGCUACUCAAAAUAAAGACCAAGUAUGAAAAUAUUCCAGAUGGAAAUACUACUAUGUUAGAGGACUGCAGUAUGCAUAUGGGAUAUGGAAGCCAUUGAAAAGGGAAAAGGGGAAGGGAUUGUCUCUAAAUUUAAGGAUCAUCUGGAUUUCUACACUACAGACAUAAAAAUGGCUUUAUGUUCUAUUAAUCAGAGAAAUUUGCAUCCAUCAAU